rnacentral:sRNA from 2 species
UUACACUUCGUUGGGGAGUAGCCUGUUUCCAUUAUCCAUGGAAAAGUUUGUGUCAACAUAAUUGGUCACAUGACCAUGGUACAAACACCACUUGGUUGGCGAGACCAUCGAUAUUUCCAUGCCCUAAGGUCAGGCGUGUGGU